UACGAACCGUCCAAACGUUAUUCGGAAUCACUGGGCUUAAAGAGUCCGUAGGCGGCUCAGAAAGUAGGGUGUGAAAUCCCACGGCUCAACCGUGGAACUGCGCUCUAAACUACUGAGCUUGAGGGAGCUAGAGGUAAGCGGAACUGAUGGUGGAGCGGUGAAAUGCGUUGAUAUCAUCAGGAAUACCGGAGGCGAAGGCGGCUCACUGGGGGUUAUCUGACGCUGAGGAACGAAAGCCAGGGGAGCAAACGGG
rnacentral:rRNA from 1 species